rnacentral:piRNA from 1 species
UUUGACGAAAUAAACAAGCACUCGAGC